rnacentral:lncRNA from 1 species
CUCAUAACCACCCCCAGAAGCCUUUGCACACCCGCCCUUACAGGGAGGCUUAAGGAAAUUAAAGGGCUGAAAUGAUUGCUUUUUCCCCAGCAAGAAAGAUUGGGCCACUUAAUGAAGAACUACCCUUAAUCUUGGACAAACUAGGUCUAAUUUCUUCAAAUUAUUCCACAUUUCACCAAUUUCAUUUUUCCCUUUUACUCAAGGGUGUCUGGGCAGGCACGCCCUGCACCCUGCAAAAAGCCUGGAUGUGAGACUGUCUCAUUUUCUUCUACCACACACGGAACAUCUCAGCACUGAUUAUUUUCAACAGGGAGGAAAGUGGGCCUGGGGAGUGGGUCUGGAGAGUGCUCAGGAGGCCUGUCCUCGCGCUGGAGCUCACAACCAGAGCUUCAUUAGCACCGAUUGAUCGCCAGCUGCCUGUCAACAGGAAGGAGGACGUGGCACCUCGCAUGCCGGGCACAGUCCAGGCUGACGGGCGGAAAGCAUUUGCAAGUCCCCGAAGGGGAUGCACGGGGAGGAACAAAGGCCCAGGACAGCAAAAGGACAGGCAGUCACACAGAGGAUUCAUGGCAGCCCCGGAUCCAGACCAGGCAUCCUGGCUGACACCCCAGCAUGCAGCAUUCUCCUUCUUGCCUGCAUCUCUGCAAAUUUGGUGACCGCUACUAAACUGCAGUCUCCUCUGGGCAGGGACUGGACUCCAACUACUUAGGACAAUCAGAAAGAUUUUGAUGGGCACCUGCUCUGUGCCAUCCCUGGGCUGGGCUCUUGGACUCUGGCGAGUGAAAAACCUACCCCUGCCUUUGCAGGGCACCCAAUGCCAUGCUCUUAAAGACUCGAGGGCAUCUUGAGUGAGGUGCCCAGUUUUGCAGGUGACCUUGGGGAGUCACCAUCAGUAGCAAUAAAAGGUCCCAUAAGAACAGUACUUUUUAGCUUACAACACACUUUCCCAUCUGUCACAUUUAAAAAAUCUCGCCAAAACUCAUGGAGCCUGUAUCCUCUGUAAAAGGAGACAAAGGCACUAUAGCCCUAGCCACAGGCUGAAGGGACCAUGUGCCUGGGCGCUCUUGGUAAAUCGGAACAUGUUUGCCUUGCAGGGAACCAACAGCCGCGACCCGCUGCAGACCCCAGUGUGGAACUUCAGUGAGGGUCCUUGGGGUUGCAAGCGACAGAAACACAACUCAGACUAGCUGCAGAUAGAAAGAGAAUGUAAGAAUUGAGAAUUGUAACAUAAAGGGGCUCAAACACUGUUUCUCUUUUCUCCUCUAUUCUUCUCUCUCUUUCUAUCCUUUCUCUGCCUCCUUUUUAUCUCUGCUUCCCUCUUGGUUGACCUCAUUUUCCCUCCUGCCCUAGAUCCUUCCUCUAGGAUCUCUGUGCUGAGAAUGUACCACCAGUUUCACAGCGCCGAUGGAAAGGGUGUGUUUCCUCUGUACAUCCAUAUGCCAACAUAUGGGCAUGGAUUACUCCAGUUUAGGACACAUGCCCACCCCUUGAGCCACCUCUGGUGGGGAGUGUUCUGUGAUUGGCUAGACGAAGAGGAAGCAGAGGUCUGCGCUUGAGCCCUCCCAAGACCUCACCGAGUGGAUCUCCAAAGCAAGGACGUUAGAUUGUCCAAACAACACCCUGAUGAGCGGAUUUUCAACUCUUAGUACAGGGUCUGGCACAUGAGAGGGUGCUCACGAGAGUUUGCUAAUAAACAAAUCAAUGAAUAUAGAGUUGGAUAAAUGCUAUUUUUAUACAGUAUACAGUGCUAUUUUUAAAAAGAACAUUCCUGCUUCUUUCCGCUCAGUUACACCUGGAUGCGUAACUUUAUGUGUGUUUUUGUGUGGCUUUGAGGCAUCUUAUUUUCCCAGCAUUAAAACAAAGUUACCACCUUUACCACUGCAAACUUCAUUCUUUCAGAACAUGGCAUACAAAGCCCAUCAAAACUGAUGACCAAAGCAGGGGAUAGUGGUACGUGCCUGUAAUCCCAGCUACUCAGGAGGCUGAGGUGGGAGGAUCCCUUGAGCCCAGGAGUUCAAGACCAGCUUGGGCAACAUAGCCAGACCCCCGUCUCUAAAAAAAUUUUGAUUACCAAAAUGGUGAUCUCAUGACUGUUUUUCUAGGAUUUCCUGGAAGUUACCCAAAUGUAUCUUAAGUCUCUAUGCCAGAUUCCAAGCUUGGGUUCUAACCCAAUAUCAGAUGGACUGAGAAAGCUUCCGUUGAUGUGCUUGAUGCUGUGACACACUGCCCAGCUUCACGCUCACCACCCAGGAUGGAGGCGCUCACUCCCAGAUGCUAAGUGUGCAGUUGGCUUAUAGCUUAUAGCUCUCAGCUGAGUCUUCUCUGGGGGUUGCCCUCAUCCUAACAGACUUGCCUCACCCAAGGUCAUACCCCCUUGCCAGGGCGGUCCACGUAUAAUGACCAGUAGGUAUGGGGGUCAAAAAACUCUGCACCCUUUCCCCCAGGGUGGCCGACUCUGGUGGGCCAUCCCGUUCAGAGGCCCCGUGGGAUUGACCAGGCCCUUGUUGUGAUGGCCCCGCAACUCAGCUGCUUCUGCUCUAUCCUCAUUACUUUAGCACCUGUCCCAGCAGGUUGGUCCAAAGGACACUGCCUGCAAGUUUCAUCUCGAAGACCAAAUGCCAGGGAACCCAACCUGCAACAGAUGGCACCAGGAGUGGUCCAGGGAUCUCUGAAAUGGGAUUUUGGAGUUGGCUCAGUCACCAGAUGGCUGGCAAUGAGGACUCUAUCAUCAGCGAUAGGGGAGCAUUGAUGGUCCGCGGUGUGGGGUAGAGGUGCAAUGAAGACCAGCAGAAAGGAAUGCACAGCUAACACAAUGGAUCAAGUAUCUGAGGAGAACGAGGGAAAUACUCAUCACAGGGCUGUGGAGUUGGAUGGCUGUUGCUGGGGGCAACUGCAGCAUCGGAGAAAGACAAUCAAAGACUGAGGGUGGUUAAUCACCAAUUAAAGGCCAAUUACGAUAACCAGAGGGUCUCCUUAGUACCAUAUAAAUUAGAGACUCUCAUCUCCUGCAGCUGGAGGGCAGAAAAGCUGAGGAUCUGGCCCAGGACUUAAUUCUAAGUAUUACAGAGCUGGCAAAGAGGUUGGAUUCCCAAAACCUAGGCAAAUCUGACAUAUCUGGGUUAGGGCUGGGGCUGGAAUCACCUGAAAGCUCACUCACUCAGAUGCCUAUUAGCACCUGCGCAGGGAAGGCAAGCGGCUGGGAGCUGGAAGAGCUGGUGCUCCUUGGACAUCUGUCUCUAUGUGGGUGUCUCUGUGGGUCUGUCCAAGGAGGAAGCUUCAGAGCAGCUGGAUUUUCUACAUGGUGGGCCCAGGAUCCAAACCAAGUGUCCCAAGAGAGAGGGAGCAGAAGUGAGUGCAGCCUUUUUGACUGAACCAUGCUCUAUGAAUGCAAUGGUGAGGGCAAAUCUUCCCACUGGGCAGAGCUUCAGGUGGGGCUCCCCGUGAUCCACUUUGUAUGAAAAGCAUCCUGGCUCAAGGAUGGCGCAUAUAGGAUUCUUGACCAGUGAAGAAUAGUUUGAUUGACUUCUCAGAGACUAGAAAGAAAAGAGUGGCAGAUCAGGGAGGGGGAGGUCUGUGGAAGAGGCAGGUGGGAGUGCUUUGAGAAAGGGUAUCAUGUGGCCAGAGGAAGGUCUAUUCAUGUGAAUGCCCGCUGAGCACAAUACAAAGGAAGAGGCAAUGCAGACCUUAGGAGACAGAAUGACUUGGCCAGCUGAUGUCAGCCUGCCUCUGUCAUCGGCCACCCCGUGCUGUGACCAUAGCCGUGGGCCUGGCCACAUGGCCUCCCAUUGACGUAGGCUGCUACAGCCCCAGGAGCUCCUGAGGCUGAAUGUCCCACCUGCCAGCAACAGAAACCAACAGUGAGCUCCCAGCAGCAGCAGAGCCUUUGAGCUUCAUCCAUAUUUACAGCCUUUCCCCAUGGCUUGCAUUACCUGCUGAGCUCUGCCUCCUGUCAGAUCAGUGAUGGCAUCAGAUUCUCUUAGGAGCACAAACCCUAUUGUGAGCUCCCAGAGCUCCCAGCAACAGCAGAGCCUACACUGCACCCUUCCACCCUGGAAAAGGCAGCCAUUCAUCAUGACCAGAAUUGACACAUACCCAGGGGACUAGUCAGUUCUCUAGAGAAACAGAACCAAUAGGACAAGUAUAUACGGUUCAUCCUUGAACAGCAAGGGGCUGAACUGCAUGGGUCCGCUUUUGGGUUUUGGGGGUUUUUGUUGUUGUUGUUUUUAGAGACAGGGUCUCCCUCUAUCACCCAGGCUGGAGUGCAGUGGCACCAUCACAGCUCACAGCAGCCUCAAACUCCUGGACUCAAGCAAUCCUCCCACCUCAGUCUGCUGAGUAGCUGGGACUACAGGUGCAUGCAACCACACCCAGCUAAUUAUUGUUAUUAUUAUUAUUAUUUUGUAGAAAUGAGAUCUUGCUGUGUUGCCCAGGCUGGUCUCAAAAUCCUGGCCUCAAGCAAUCCUCUCACUUCGGACUCCCAAAGCAUUAGAAUUCCAGGGUGAGCCACCACACCCAGCCCAAGGGUUCACUCCUAUGAAGAUUUUCUCCUGCCUCUGCCCUCUCUGAGACAGCAAGACCAAUCCCACCUCUUCCUCCUCCUCCUCAGCCUACCCAACAUGAAGAUGAAAAUGAAGAUCCUGAUGACCACUUCCACUUAACGAAUAGUAAAUAUAUUUUCUCUUUCUUAUGAUUUUUCUUAGUAACAUUUUCUUUGCUCUAGCUUACUUUAUUGUAAGAAUACAGUAUAUAAUACAUAUAACAUACAAAGUAUGUGAUAAUUGUGUUAUCAGGAAGGCUGCCCAUCAACAGUAUGUUGUUUAUUGGUAAUUAAGUUUUGGGGGGAGUCAAAAGUUACUAGUGGAUUUUCUACCACACGGAGGGGUGGGGUCGGUGUACCAAACCCCCAUGUUAUUCAAGGGCCAACUGUAUAGACAGAGAGAUUUAGUAUAUGGAAUUGGCUCAUGUGCUCAGGAGGCUGACAGCCUGGAGUCCCAGGAGAGCUGCCGGUGCAGAUGGAGUCUGAAGGCAGCCUUCUGGAGCAGGAGUGAGAGCGGCGGGCAGGUGAGCAAGCUUUUCCCCAUGGCUUGCAUUACCUGCUGAGCUCUGCCUCCUGUCAGAUCAGCGAUGGCAUCAGAUUCUCUUAGGAGCACAAACCCUACUGUGAACUGCGCAUGGGAGGGAUCUAGGUUGAGCGCUGCUUAUGAGAAUCUAAUGCCUGAUGAUCUGUCACUGUCUCCCAUCACCCCCAGAUGGGACUGUCUAGCUGCAGGAAAACAAGCUCAGGGCUCCCACUGAUUCUACAUUAUGGUGAGUUGUAUAAUUAGUUCAUUGUAUAUUACAAUGUAAUAAUAACAAAAAUAAAGUGCACAAUAAAUGUAAUGAGAUUGAAUCAUCCCCAAACCAUCCCCCAACCCUGGUCCAUGGAAAAAUUGUCUUCCACGAAACCGGUCCCUGGUGCCAAAAAGUCUAGGGACCGCUGUUCUGGAGGAUUCCCCUUGCUCAGGCUCGCCCUACUCAAGCCUUCACCUAUAGGAUGCCACUCACCGCAUUGCGGAAGGCAAUCCGCUGUACCCAAGGCCCCUGGCUGGAAUGUUAACCUCUUCCAAGCUGACACAUAAAAUUCCCCAUCACAUCCAGGAAGUGGUUUGCUUUUCCUGGCCAGAAAGUCACAGAGAGCUCCCACCUCACCCUCAACCCCGUCCCCCCACCCACCUCACCCCAUCUGAAGAUUUACAGUGCUUGAUCCACCAAUAUGGACUCCCACAUAAAAUCACAGCAAAAGAGGUGUGACCAUGUGCACAUAACCACAGGACACACCAUCAGUUACAGACCCUGCCAUCCAAAUGCUGUGGACUGAUAGGAAGCAGAAUGGUUUGUUUUAGGCAAAGCUGAGAUGCCAGUCUGAAGAUGAGCCCAUGUCCUCCAAGGUGCAAAUUCCCUAAAUGAAUGGCCAUGAUAUGGUGUUCUGCCCCUGGUAGAUCAAAUAGAAAUGUUAACCUGUAUACCUAUAUAGGUCCAGGAACGAAGGGGCAGAAGCAGGAAUGGCCCUGCUUGUAAUAAUCCCUCCUACAACCUAUUUGAAGAGUUUGUUAUUCUUAUUCCUGCAACUCAAAGCCCUGUGAUCAGGGAGGUCCUGGUUCUCAAAGGGGAAAUUCUUCUGCCAGGGAACACAGAAAUAGUCUCAUUAAACUUUAUUUUUACAGCUUCAUUGCAUCAUAAAGUUCACCCAUUUUAAGUAUGCAAGUCAAUGAUUUUCAAUAAAUUUGCUGUGUUUUACAACCAUCCUUGUAAUCCAGAUUUAGAACCUUUCCAUCACCUCAAGAAGAUCCCUCAGCCCCAUUUACAGUUAAUCUUCAUUCAACCCCCAGCCGGAGGCAAAUGCCUAUGUACUUUCCGUCUGUCUCUAUUUGCUCUUUCUGGACAUUUCAUACACAUUGCAUCAUACAGUAUGUGGUCUUCGGAGGUUCCUCCAUGUUGUAGCCUGCAUCAGCACUUCCUCCCUUUCUCUUGAUGAAGAGUAUUCCAUUGGAUGGAUAGACCACAUUUCGUUUGUCAGUUCACCAGUUGACGGACAUUUGAGUUAUUUCUACCUUUUUUUUUUUUUUUGGCUAUUAGAAAUUAAGCUACCAUGAACAUUUACAUGCAAGUUUUGUGUGAACUUAUGUUUUCAUUUCUCUCGAGUAGCUAUUUUGGAGAGGAACAGUUGGGUCGUUUAGCAAAUUUAUGUUUAACUUUUUUUUGCAUAGAUUCAGGGGGUAUUGAGUGCAGUUUUGGUCCAUGGAUAUAUUGCGCAGUGGUGAAGACUGGGCUUUUCAUGUACACGUAGCCCAAAUAUUGAAUAUUGUACCCAAUAGGUAAAUGUUUAACUUUUAAAGAAAAAGCCAAAACACUUUCCCAAGUAGCUGUACUGUUUUACAUUUCCUCCAGCCAUGUAUGAGAAAGCCCAUUUCCACACACUCUAACUAGCAUUUAUUAUUGUCUGCCUAUUUAAUUAUAGCCAUUCUAGUGUGUAUGAAGUGGUAUCUCAUUGUGACUCACAUUUGCAUUUCCCUCAUGACUAAUGGUGUUGAGCAUCUCUUCAAGCGCUUAUUAGUCAUUUGUUUAUUUUUUUGGUGAAAUAUCUAUUAAAAUCCUUUCCCCAUUUUUUAAUUGGAUGUUUGUCUUCUUGUUGAGUUAUCUGUAUGUUCUCGACACAAGUCCUUUAUCAAAUAUACGAUUUACAAAUAUUUUUCAGUCUAUGGCUUGUCUUUUCAUUUUCCUAAUGAUGUCUUUUGAAUUGCAAACAUUUUAUUAUUUUGGUGAAGACCGAUUCAUCAAUUUUUUACUUUAUACAGUAUGCUUUUAAUGUUGAAUCUGAGAAAGCUUUGUUAACCCAAGCUUAUAAUGAUUUUCUGCUGUGUGUUCCUCUGGAAGUUUUAUAGGCCUGGUGUGGUUGCUCACGCCUGUAAUCCCAGCACUUUGGUAAGCCGAUGAAGGGGGAUUACUUGAGCCCAGGAGUUCAAGACCAGCCUGGGCAGCAUAGUGAGAUCCUGUCUCUACAAAAAAUUUAAAAAUGGCUGGGCACAGUGGCUCACGCCUGUAAUCCCAACACUUUGGGAAGCCGAGGUGGACAGAUCACUUGAGGUCAGGAGUUCGAGACUAGCCUGACCAACAUGGAGAAACCCCGUCUCUGCUAAAAAUACAAAAUUAGCCGGACGUGGUGGCCCAUGCCUGUAAUCCCAGCUACCCGGGAGGCUGAGGCAGGAGAAUCACUUGAACUGGGGAAGCAGAGGUUGCAGUGAGCCGAGAUCGUGCCAUUGCACUCCAGCCUGGGCAACAAGAGCGAAACUCCACCUAAAAAAAAAAAAAAAAUUAAAAAAUUAGCUGGGCAUAGUGGCACAUACCUGUGGUCCCAGCUACUCAG